rnacentral:rRNA from 1 species
UACGUAGGGGGCAAGCGUUGUCCGGAAUUAUUGGGCGUAAAGAGCGUGUAGGCGGUCCGGUAAGUCAGCUGUGAAAGUCAAGGGCUCAACCCUUGAAAGCCGGUUGAUACUGUCGGGCUAGAGUCCGGAAGAGGCGAGUGGAAUUCCCGGUGUAGCGGUGAAAUGCGCAGAUAUCGGGAGGAACACCAAUGGCGAAGGCAGCUCUCUGGGGACGGUACGUGACGCUGAGGCGCGACAGCGUGGGGAGCAAACAGG